AGAGUUUGUUCCUGGCUCAGAUUGAACGCUGGCGGCAGGCCUAACACAUGCAAGUCGAGCGGUAGAGAGAAGCUUGCUUCUCUUGAGAGCGGCGGACGGGUGAGUAAUGCCUAGGAAUCUGCCUGGUAGUGGGGGAUAACGUUCGGAAACGGACGCUAAUACCGCAUACGUCCUACGGGAGAAAGCAGGGGACCUUCGGGCCUUGCGCUAUCAGAUGAGCCUAGGUCGGAUUAGCUAGUUGGUGAGGUAAUGGCUCACCAAGGCGACGAUCCGUAACUGGUCUGAGAGGAUGAUCAGUCACACCGGAACUGAGACACGGUCCAGACUCCUACGGGAGGCAGCAGUGGGGAAUAUUGGACAAUGGGCGAAAGCCUGAUCCAGCCAUGCCGCGUGUGUGAAGAAGGUCUUCGGAUUGUAAAGCACUUUAAGUUGGGAGGAAGGGCAGUAAAUUAAUACUUUGCUGUUUUGACGUUACCGACAGAAUAAGCACCGGCUAACUCUGUGCCAGCAGCCGCGGUAAUACAGAGGGUGCAAGCGUUAAUCGGAAUUACUGGGCGUAAAGCGCGCGUAGGUGGUUUGUUAAGUUGGAUGUGAAAUCCCCGGGCUCAACCUGGGUACUGCAUUCAAAACUGACUGACUAGAGUAUGGUAGAGGGUGGUGGAAUUUCCUGUGUAGCGGUGAAAUGCGUAGAUAUAGGAAGGAACACCAGUGGCGAAGGCGACCACCUGGACUAAUACUGACACUGAGGUGCGAAAGCGUGGGGAGCGAACAGGAUUAGAUACCCUGGUAGUCCACGCCGUAAACGAUGUCAACUAGCCGUUGGAAGCCUUGAGCUUUUAGUGGCGCAGCUAACGCAUUAAGUUGACCGCCUGGGGAGUACGGCCGCAAGGUUAAAACUCAAAUGAAUUGACGGGGGCCCGCACAAGCGGUGGAGCAUGUGGUUUAAUUCGAAGCAACGCGAAGAACCUUACCAGGCCUUGACAUCCAAUGAACUUUCUAGAGAUAGAUUGGUGCCUUCGGGAACAUUGAGACAGGUGCUGCAUGGCUGUCGUCAGCUCGUGUCGUGAGAUGUUGGGUUAAGUCCCGUAACGAGCGCAACCCUUGUCCUUAGUUACCAGCACGUAAUGGUGGGCACUCUAAGGAGACUGCCGGUGACAAACCGGAGGAAGGUGGGGAUGACGUCAAGUCAUCAUGGCCCUUACGGCCUGGGCUACACACGUGCUACAAUGGUCGGUACAGAGGGUUGCCAAGCCGCGAGGUGGAGCUAAUCCCAUAAAACCGAUCGUAGUCCGGAUCGCAGUCUGCAACUCGACUGCGUGAAGUCGGAAUCGCUAGUAAUCGCGAAUCAGAAUGUCGCGGUGAAUACGAAACCGGGCCUUGCACUC
rnacentral:rRNA from 1 species